rnacentral:lncRNA from 1 species
CUGCGUCCCACUAGGAGGGGGCAGGGACGGGACGUGGGAAAAUGACUACGCGUCACUCGUGAUGUCGCGCAUCCGAUAGGCCCUUUUCAGAUGGCAAAAGGCCUGAGGGUGAAUCUGGGCGAGCUGGUUGAGUCCAUGCGUUUGUGCUUCCUCUCAGUCCACUUUCGCUUACGAUGGGGCGACUCUUGUCCAUCGUCACCUCACCGGGAAACUUUUCCUGCCGGGCCAGUUAAUGGUCCCCUGUACCAUCCCCAUCCUGAGUGACUACUAAGCAGCCGCAGCGACUCGGGGUUGCUCCGUGACCACGUUACUCAGUUAACCUUCUUGUUCCCUGGAGAGGCGGAGCUGAAUGGCCCGGACGGGGUUUCUCCAUGUUUCCCAGGCUGGUCUCAAACUCCUGGACUCAAGCAAUCUGCCCACCUUGCCUCCCAAAAUGCUCCUCCAAAAAAGGAGUGUGCCGCCACACCCAGCCUGAGCAACUUUUGUUUUUAAGGUUGGCUUCAGAGGUGCAAGUAUAUUGGCAGAUGCCUACUCAAGAUAGGCCAAGGAACCCUGAGGGAUGUCGGCUAGCUUUCUGUGCUGCACAUUGAUGUCCUCCAGCACCUGCCAUGAAUGCCGCAACUAUGUCAAGUUCUUCUGGACCAGCAUGUCUUUCCACUAUAAUUCAUUCCUUAGUUCGAAGAAAUCCUCUUUGAUAGCAUUAUCUGGUUUCUGGACAGAUAAUUGCAAUCUUUUUGAAGAAAAAAACAUCCUAUCUGUCUUGCAAUAUCCAGAAACUCCUGGAUACACUGAUCAACACCAGUUUGAAUUUCUUCCUGAUUGGUGCCAUUGACAUACUUCUGACUCACCAGAGAAGCAAAGCAAGCCUGAAAAUAUGACUUCAACUUUUCCAUCAAGGUACUGUCAUAAGGUCUUAGAGAACCUGGAGCUUCCUGAAGAAGCAAAGCCUAGCUUGGGAGUUCCAGUGGGGGUGGUGGGGGACCCAGUGGCUCCACAGGGAACAUAACACCUGGUGGAGCUGCCAUAUCUUGAAUGAGAUUUCUUUUAAAGAGUCAGUGGAGAUGUUAACUAGGCAGUUGAAUAUGAAUCUGACAUUCAAGAGAGUAGUCCAGAACAAAUACAUAUUUGAGAGUUAUUGACCAAGAGAAGGUAUUAAAGCCAGGAUUUCACAGAGAUAAGGAAAACACAGAGGUGAGAUGAUUUAUGUUCAAAUCUGGAGUACUAUCAACAGUUGGAGGUUAAGCCUAGGAGGAAGAGACAGGAAAGAAGUCUGUUGAAGAAGGUAGAAGGAAAGCAGGAAAAAGUUGAGUCAUAGAAGCCAAGAAAAGAAAGCAUUUAAAGAAGGAGGAAAUAAUCAAUUAUUUUAAAUGCAGUUUAAAUUUCAAAUAUGGUAGGGACAGAGAAGUGAUUUCUGAUAUUUCAUAGCAUGGAAAUUAUAGCAACCUUAACAAGAAGAGUCUUGGAGAUGUUAUAAAUAUGAAAGUGGUGGGGACAAGUGCAAGUUAAGAAGAAAAUAAAAGGAAUUUAAAGAGAUAAAUAGAGCUUAAUCAAAACAAAAAUGGAAUAUACAACAACCCAACAACAAGAGCAAUGAAACAAAAACAUAAUUUAGCAAAUAAAACAUCAAAACAACAAAGCCCCCAAACUAUCUUUAGAUUCCCUUUGAGCUAUGUUUAAAAAAUUUUUUUGCCACUUAUCUUCCUCAAACAGUAACCUGUAUUCCACUCACUCAGCUUUACGCCUGUGCUGCUCUAGAUUCCACUUCCACUGCUCCUGUAAACUCUCUCCACUGUCACUGAUGACUGCACAAUGAGACUUUAUUCUCUGCACUUCUCUGAAGUCCUUGAAAUACAGUAAUCCCUCCUUACUUAUAAGGGAUAUGUUCCAAGACAUUCAUUAUAUGCCUGAAACCACAAAAA